GAGAGAGUGAAGUAAGCUUCUUUAUGCUAAAUGUUUACUUGUUUAGUUAUAUGUCUCAUUUGAAAAUAUUAAUUUGAUUUUUUGAAACAUUAUAAUUCGCUUCCAUUUCUUUUCCAUAUCUAUAUUCAAUUGCCUUUAACAAAAGUGCAUGGGUGUAUAAUUAUAUUAGAUUUCUUGUUUUUCAUAGCUUCUGAAUCUCAACUAACCACAAUUUAUAAAUUUUAACGUUUUCUAUCCUGAAGCUUUAACUUCCAUAAGCACUUUGGAAAUUCUAACUUGUAAUAAAGUGAUUUGGGGCGCUAAAAAAAUCUUUUACAUAUAACUUUAGAUAGAUCUUGAUUUCCUAAAACUAGAAGGACUGAUGAAUAAGCAACGAAUCAAGAGUGUUAUUGUUCCUCAAUACUAAAUUUGCUCCUCAAGCAUAGCUCAAGGCGCACUAAGGUGCCAAAGAGUCCUGUAGCCUAGGCGCAAGGCACAAAGCGCAGGCGAGUGCCUGAGCGAGAUGAGGUGCAAAA
rnacentral:misc_RNA from 1 species